rnacentral:lncRNA from 12 species
AAAAUGGUGAGACGGGCUGGGAAGCGCAUAAUUAUGAUAUCAUUCACAGAUCUACUCCAUCCUGCUUCAGUACCAGAAAGUGAGAGGCA